rnacentral:rRNA from 1 species
UACUGCACAAUGGGCGCAAGCCUGAUGCAGCGACGCCGCGUGAGUGAAGAAGUAUCUCGGUCUGUAAAGCUCUAUCAGCAGGGAAGAANNUGACGGUACCUGACUAAGAAGCCCCGGCUAACUACGUGCCAGCAGCCGCGGUAAUACGUAGGGGGCAAGCGUUAUCCGGAUUUACUGGGUGUAAAGGGAGCGUAGACGGCGGGGCAAGUCUGGAGUGAAAGGCCGGGGCCCAACCCCGGGACCGCUCUGGAAACUGCCCGGCUGGAGUGCGGGAGAGGUAAGCGGAAUUCCUAGUGUAGCGGUGAAAUGCGUAGAUAUUAGGAGGAACACCAGCGGCGAAGGCGGCUUACUGGACCGUGACUGACGUUGAGGCUCGAAAGCGUGGGGAGCAAA